UACGGGGGGAGCAAGCGUUGUUCGGAUUUACUGGGCGUAAAGGGCGCGUAGGCGGCCACCGCAAGUCGACUGUGAAAUCUCCGGGCUUAACCCGGAAGGUCAGCCGAUACUGCGGGGCUAGAGUGCAGAAGGGGCAACUGGAAUUCUCGGGUGUAGCGGUGAAAUGCGUAGAUAUCGAGAGGAACACCUGCGGCGAAGGCGGGUUGCUGGGCUGACACUGACGCUGAGGCGCGAAAGCUAGGGGAGCGAACGGG
rnacentral:rRNA from 1 species